CGCCCAGACUCCUACGGGAGGCAGCAGUGGGGAAUAUUGCACAAUGGGGGAAACCCUGAUGCAGCGACGCCGCGUGAGCGAUGAAGUAUUUCGGUAUGUAAAGCUCUAUCAGCAGGGAAGAAGAUGACGGUACCUGACUAAGAAGCCCCGGCUAACUACGUGCCAGCAGCCGCGGUAAUACGUAGGGGGCAAGCGUUAUCCGGAUUUACUGGGUGUAAAGGGAGCGUAGACGGCGGCGCAAGCCAGAUGUGAAAGCCCGGGGCUCAACUCCGGGACUGCAUUUGGAACUGUGUGGCUGGAGUGUCGGAGAGGCAGGCGGAAUUCCUAGUGUAGCGGUGAAAUGCGUAGAUAUUAGGAGGAACACCAGUGGCGAAGGCGGCCUGCUGGACGAUGACUGACGUUGAGGCUCGAAAGCGUGGGGAGCAAACAGGAUUAGAUACCCCAGUA
rnacentral:rRNA from 1 species